GGGUUGUGAGGUUAAGUGACUAAGCGUACACGGUGGAUGCCCUGGCAGUCAGAGGCGAUGAAGGACGUGCUAAUCUGCGAUAAGCGUCGGUAAGGUGAUAUGAACCGUUAUAACCG
rnacentral:rRNA from 1 species